rnacentral:rRNA from 1 species
CGGAAUUCGAUUAGAGUUUGAUCCUGGCUCAGGAUGAACGCUGGCUACAGGCUUAACACAUGCAAGUCGAGGGGAAACGACGGGGAAGCUUGCUUCCCCGGGCGUCGACCGGCGCACGGGUGAGUAACGCGUAUCCAACCUGCCUCUGACUGAGGGAUAACCCGUCGAAAGUCGGCCUAAUACCUCAUGGCAUCGUCUGCGGGCAUCCAACGACGAUUAAAGAUUUCAUCGGUCAGGGAUGGGGAUGCGUCUGAUUAGCUUGUUGGCGGGGUAACGGCCCACCAAGGCUACGAUCAGUAGGGGUUCUGAGAGGAAGGUCCCCCACAUUGGAACUGAGACACGGUCCAAACUCCUACGGGAGGCAGCA